UUGCACGAUUCAGGUGGAAAGGUGGGUUAUGUGUGACAAAUGUGAACGCUGGAAGCAUCAAAUUUGUGCCCUUUUUAAUUUCAAAAGGGGUGAUUCUAAAGAAGCAAAAUGUACUUGCCCUAAAGUGUUGUUCUUGGGGCUAAAGAUCUGCCAAGGGCCGUGCUUAGCAAUCAUAUACAAGAACAACUCUUUAAACCGUUCAGGGAAUAUAGACACUAACAGGCCAUUCAUGAUGGGAAAAGCUUUGAUGAGGGACCUCCGAUAUGGGACCUUCUUGGCCCCAUUGGCCGCCAAGCCCAACUCCUAGAGUGGACGUCAGGUAGCGACGCAUGAGACACGGCGCCCCGGGCGGCGGCGGCGGCGAGGGCAAUGCCGCACAGGACACGCCAUGGCCCCCAAGCAGAUAUUGAUCUUAGACUCGCCUUCUCAUCCUGACAAAAUAUGCCAUUUGUAUUCCCAUGACCUUAUUAUUAGAACACACAGGGAACUUUCCUAGCUUCAGUCCAGACAUGAUUUGUUGAACGUGAACAAAAUAAGAGUCCCAUAUCUAAGAUUUAAGUCAACUGCUAUUGCUAUCUCAGUAUGAGAAAGGAAAAUCCUCUCAUGGCUUGGAAUUAGUGGAGUAGGAUUCUCACAGAA